rnacentral:rRNA from 1 species
UACGUAGGGCGCAAGCGUUUGUCCGGAAUUAUUGGGCGUAAAGAGCUCGUAGGCGGCUUGUCACGUCGGGUGUGAAAGCUCGGGGCUUAACCCCCGGGUCUGCAUUCGAUACGGGGCUGGCUGGAGUGUGGUGAGAGGAGAUCGGAAUUCCUGGUGUAGCGGUGAAAUGCGUAGAUAUCGGGAGGAACACCAGUGGCGAAGGCGACUUCUUGGCCUGUUCUUGACGCUGAGGCGCGAAAGCUGGGGGAGCAAACGGGG